rnacentral:rRNA from 1 species
UACGUAGGGUGCGAGCGUUGUCCGGAAUUAUUGGGCGUAAAGAGCUCGUAGGCGGUCUGUCGCGUCGGUCGUGAAAACUUGGGGCUUAACCCUGAGCUUGCGGUCGAUACGGGCAUGACUGGAGUUCGGCAGGGGAGACUGGAAUUCCUGGUGUAGCGGUGAAAUGCGCAGAUAUCAGGAGGAACACCGGUGGCGAAGGCGGGUCUCUGGGCCGAUACUGACGCUGAGGUGCGAAAGCGUGGGGAGCAAACAGG